rnacentral:rRNA from 1 species
CCUACGGGAGGCAGCAGUAGGGAAUCUUCCGCAAUGGACGAAAGUCUGACGGAGCAACGCCGCGUGAACGAUGAAGGCCUUCGGGUCGUAAAGUUCUGUUGUUAGGGAAGAACAAGUGCUAGUUAAAUAAGCUGGCACCUUGACGGUACCUAACCAGAAAGCCACGGCUAACUACGUGCCAGCAGCCGCGGUAAUACGUAGGUGGCAAGCGUUGUCCGGAAUUAUUGGGCGUAAAGCGCGCGCAGGCGGUUUCUUAAGUCUGAUGUGAAAGCCCCCGGCUCAACCGGGGAGGGUCAUUGGAAACUGGGAAACUUGAGUGCAGAAGAGGAAAGUGGAAUUCCAAGUGUAGCGGUGAAAUGCGUAGAGAUUUGGAGGAACACCAGUGGCGAAGGCGACUUUCUGGUCUGUAACUGACGCUGAGGCGCGAAAGCGUGGGGAGCAAACAGGAUUAGAUACCCUGGUAGUCCACGCUGUAAACGAUGAGUGCUAAGUGUUAGAGGGUUUCCGCCUUUAGUGCUGAAGUUACGCAUUAAGCACUCCGCCUGGGGAGUACGGUCGCAAAGACUGAAACUUAAAGAGUAGUUCGACGUGUUGAGAGCGACGACGACGACGAGGAGGAGGAG